rnacentral:rRNA from 1 species
AGGGCACACGGUGAAUGCCUUGGUGCCAGUAGGCGAUGAAGGACGUGUUUAAGCUGCGAUAAGCCUCGGUGAGCUGCAACCAAGCUCUGACCCGAGGAUUUCCGAAUGGGGUAACCUGUAUGCCUUAAUAGGUGUACGUUCCUCUCUGAAUAUAUAGGAGAGGAUACGCGAACCCGGUGAAGUGAAACAUCUCAGUAACCGGAGGAAAAGAAAGCGAAUGCGAUUCCGUAAGUAGUGGCGAGCGAAAGCGGAUCAGCCCAAACCAGGGGCUUUGCUCCUGGGGUUGUAGGGCUCCGAUGUGGUAUCCUGAAAGUUAGUCGAAGUGGUUGGAAAGCCACUCCAUAGAAGGUGAAAGGCCUGUAAGCGAAAACUGGAUGGAGCCUAGGAUGUCCCUGAGUAAUACGGAACACGUGAAACUCCGUAUGAAUCUGCGCCGACCAUGGCGUAAGGCUAAAUACUAACUGGCGACCGAUAGUGAACUAGUACCGUGAGGGAAAGGUGAAAAGUACCCCUUUGAGGGGAGUGAAAUAGUACCUGAAACCGUGUGCCUACAAGGAGUGGGAGCCUCUUCGGAGGUGACCGCGUGCCUUUUGCUUAAUGAGUCUACGAGUUAGUGUCUGUGGCAAGCUUAAGCGCUUUUGGUGCGUAGGCGUAGCGAAAGCGAGUCCGAAUAGGGCGACCAUAGUCGCAGGCGCUAGACCCGAAACGGAGGUGACCUACCCAUGGCCAGGUUGAAGCAUCGGUAAAACGAUGUGGAGGACCGAACCGGUACAGGUUGAAAACUGUUCGGAUGAGCUGUGGGUCGGAGUGAAAGGCUAAUCAAACCCCGUGAUAGCUGGUUCUCCUCGAAAUGCAUUUAGGUGCAGCGUCGCGUGCUUACCCUCGGGGGUAGAGCACUGAAUGAGCUAGGGCCCAUACCAGGGUACCAAACUCAACUAAACUCCGAAUACCGGGGGGUGGAACGCGGCAGUGAGACUGCGGGGGAUAAGCUUCGUAGUCGAAAGGGAAACAGCCCAGAUCAGCAGCUAAGGUGCCUAAAUAGUGCUCAGUGGAAAGGAGGUGGGAUUUCAUAGACAGUGAGGAUGUUGGCUUAGAAGCAGCCACCAUUUAAACAAAGCGUAACAGCUGACUCAUCGAGAGAUCCUGCGCCGAAAAUGAUUGGCGAUAAGCACUAUACCGAAGCUCUGGAUGCACAGCUUGCUGUGCGUGGUAGAGGAGCGUUCUCAACACCUUGAAGCCUUAAGGCGACUGAUGGUGGAGCGUUGAGAAGUGAGUAUGUAGACAUGAGUAACGAUAAGCCAGGUGAGAUCCCUGGCCGCCGUAAACCCAAGGUUUCCUGGGCCAUGCUGGUCAUCCCAGGGUUAGUCGGGACCUAAGCCGAGGCCGAUGGGCGUAGGCGAUGGACUAAAGAGGUUAAUAUUCCUCGACUUCCUGAAUCUUAAACUAGAAGGACGCAUAUUGAAUGAAGACAAGCUUAUUGAAUUGUGAGACGCAGGGUAUCGUCCCGGUCGUAUCUUUUGAAGAUGUGCCAAGAAAAGUUCUAGUGUAUGUUAAUGGAACCCGUACCGUAAACCGACACAGGUGGGUGGGUAGAAUAUACUAAGGCGCAAGAGUGAAACCCUGUUAAGGAACUCGGCAAUCUAGCCCCGUAACUUCGGGAGAAGGGGUCCCGGGACUCGUCCCGGGCGCAGUGAAAGGGCCCAUCCGACUGUUUAGCAAAAACACAGCAUUCUGCGAACACGCAAGUGGAAGUAUAGGAUGUGACACGUGACCAAUGCCAAAAGAUUAAGGGGAGGUGUUAGCCUUCGGGCGAAGCUCUGAUCCUAAGUCCUGGUGAAUGUCGGCCGUAACUAUAACGGUCCUAAGGUAGCGAAAUUCCUUGUCGGGUAAGUUCCGACCUGCACGAAUCGUGCAACGAGAUGGGCGCUGUCUCAACAGGGAGCUCAGUGAAAUUGUAUCCGCGGUGAAGAUGCCGCGUACCCGCAGAAGGACGGAAAGACCCUAUAGACCUUAACUGUAAGCUGU